rnacentral:tRNA from 1 species
ACCUGGGUGGCUCAGUCGGUUGAGCAUCUGACUUCAGCUCAGGGUCAUGAUCUCGUGGUUCGUGAGUUCGAGCCCCACGUCAGGCU